CGGCGAGCGAACGGGGAGCAGCCCAGAGCCUGAAUCAGUGUGUGUGUUAGUGGAAGCGUCUGGAAAGGCGCGCGAUACAGGGUGACAGCCCCGUACACAAAAAUGCACAUGCUGUGAGCUCGAUGAGUAGGGCGGGACACGUGGUAUCCUGUCUGAAUAUGGGGGGACCAUCCUCCAAGGCUAAAUACUCCUGACUGACCGAUAGUGAACCAGUACCGUGAGGGAAAGGCGAAAAGAACCCCGGCGAGGGGAGUGAAAAAGAACCUGAAACCGUGUACGUACAAGCAGUGGGAGCACGCUUAGGCGUGUGACUGCGUACCUUUUGUAUAAUGGGUCAGCGACUUAUAUUCUGUAGCAAGGUUAACCGAAUAGGGGAGCCGAAGGGAAACCGAGUCUUAACUGGGCGUUAAGUUGCAGGGUAUAGACCCGAAACCCGGUGAUCUAGCCAUGGGCAGGUUGAAGGUUGGGUAACACUAACUGGAGGACCGAACCGACUAAUGUUGAAAAAUUAGCGGAUGACUUGUGGCUGGGGGUGAAAGGCCAAUCAAACCGGGAGAUAGCUGGUUCUCCCCGAAAGCUAUUUAGGUAGCGCCUCGUGAAUUCAUCUCCGGGGGUAGAGCACUGUUUCGGCAAGGGGGUCAUCCCGACUUACCAACCCGAUGCAAACUGCGAAUACCGGAGAAUGUUAUCACGGGAGACACACGGCGGGUGCUAACGUCCGUCGUGAAGAGGGAAACAACCCAGACCGCCAGCUAAGGUCCCAAAGUCAUGGUUAAGUGGGAAACGAUGUGGGAAGGCCCAGACAGCCAGGAUGUUGGCUUAGAAGCAGCCAUCAUUUAAAGAAAGCGUAAUAGCUCACUGGUCGAGUCGGCCUGCGCGGAAGAUGUAACGGGGCUAAACCAUGCACCGAAGCUGCGGCAGCGACGCUUAUGCGUUGUUGGGUAGGGGAGCGUUCUGUAAGCCUGUGAAGGUGUGCUGUGAGGCAUGCUGGAGGUAUCAGAAGUGCGAAUGCUGACAUAAGUAACGAUAAAGCGGGUGAAAAGCCCGCUCGCCGGAAGACCAAGGGUUCCUGUCCAACGUUAAUCGGGGCAGGGUGAGUCGACCCCUAAGGCGAGGCCGAAAGGCGUAGUCGAUGGGAAACAGGUUAAUAUUCCUGUACUUGGUGUUACUGCGAAGGGGGGACGGAGAAGGCUAUGUUGGCCGGGCGACGGUUGUCCCGGUUUAAGCGUGUAGGCUGGUUUUCCAGGCAAAUCCGGAAAAUCAAGGCUGAGGCGUGAUGACGAGGCACUACGGUGCUGAAGCAACAAAUGCCCUGCUUCCAGGAAAAGCCUCUAAGCAUCAGGUAACAUCAAAUCGUACCCCAAACCGACACAGGUGGUCAGGUAGAGAAUACCAAGGCGCUUGAGAGAACUCGGGUGAAGGAACUAGGCAAAAUGGUGCCGUAACUUCGGGAGAAGGCACGCUGAUACGUAGGUGAAGUCCCUCGCGGAUGGAGCUGAAAUCAGUCGAAGAUACCAGCUGGCUGCAACUGUUUAUUAAAAACACAGCACUGUGCAAACACGAAAGUGGACGUAUACGGUGUGACGCCUGCCCGGUGCCGGAAGGUUAAUUGAUGGGGUCAGCGCAAGCGAAGCUCUUGAUCGAAGCCCCGGUAAACGGCGGCCGUAACUAUAACGGUCCUAAGGUAGCGAAAUUCCUUGUCGGGUAAGUUCCGACCUGCACGAAUGGCGUAAUGAUGGCCAGGCUGUCUCCACCCGAGACUCAGUGAAAUUGAACUCGCUGUGAAGAUGCAGUGUACCCGCGGCAAGACGGAAAGACCCCGUGAACCUUUACUAUAGCUUGACACUGAACAUUGAGCCUUGAUG
rnacentral:rRNA from 1 species